rnacentral:rRNA from 1 species
AUUCCAGCUCCAGUAGCGUAUAUUAAAGUUGUUGCAGUUAAAAAGCUCGUAGUUGGAUUUCUGACUUCAAACACCUGACCCUCCCUCGCUAGAGGUGUGUGUGCCGGAGUGUUUGUAUCAUCCUUUCAGUGAUCGGUUCUACCCUUAACCGGGUCGGAACUGUUAACUGGAUCUUUUACUUUGAAGAAAUUGGAGUGUUUAAAGCAGGCUUACGCCAGAACAUAUUAGCAUGGAAUAAUAAUUUGGGACUUUUGUUCUAUUUUGUUGGUUUCUAGGACGAAAGUAAUGAUUGAUAGGGAUAGUUGGGGGUGCUAGUAUUCGGCGGCCAGAGGUGAAAUUCUUUGAUCCGCUGAAGACUAACUUAUGCGAAAGCAUUCACCAAGGAUGUCUUCAUUA